GAUGAACGCUGGCGGCGUGCCUAAUACAUGCAAGUCGAGCGAACGGACGAGAAGCUUGCUUCUCUGAUGUUAGCGGCGGACGGGUGAGUAACACGUGGAUAACCUACCUAUAAGACUGGGAUAACUUCGGGAAACCGGAGCUAAUACCGGAUAAUAUUUUGAACCGCAUGGUUCAAAAGUAAAAGACGGUCUUGCUGUCACUUAUAGAUGGAUCCGCGCUGCAUUAGCUAGUUGGUAAGGUAACGGCUUACCAAGGCAACGAUGCAUAGCCGACCUGAGAGGGUGAUCGGCCACACUGGAACUGAGACACGGUCCAGACUCCUACGGGAGGCAGCAGUAGGGAAUCUUCCGCAAAGGGCGAAAGCCUGACGGAGCAACGCCGCGUGAGUGAUGAAGGUCUUCGGAUCGUAAAACUCUGUUAUUAGGGAAGAACAUAUGUGUAAGUAACUGUGUACAUCUUGACGGUACCUAAUCAGAAAGCCACGGCUAACUACGUG
rnacentral:rRNA from 1 species